CAGCUCAGGGACAUGAACAUACCUAGCAGCCCUGGAGGCACCCAGGGUUUACCGCAUCUAUGCUUAUGCUCAGACACAAUAUAAAGGUAAUAUAGGAGAUAAACUAGCGGUGCUAUUUUAACAUAAUCUGGAUAAUACUGGAGCUACUCUGCACUGGGGAGCAUCUGCUGAGCCUGGAAAAUCGGUAUGGUGAGUCUGAGCAGACAUCGCAGACAGCCACCAUGUUUGGGAGCCUCACACAAUCACCCCUCAAACCACAACAGGAAGUUAAAUCUUCAGAGAAAAACACUGGAGGACCUCACGGUGUUUUGGCAGGGGAAGGAGUGCCCAUUUGCUGCAGCUCCAGAAGGGUCACAGGGAGGAGGAAGAGCUGCCAGCUGCCUCGGGUCCUGUGAUGGAGCCCAAAACAGGAACAGGAUGGAUCCGAAAAAUGAAAACUCCACUCCUUGCAAAGAGAUCAUGACUUCUCCCGACAAGUGAACGUUUAGUGUGUCCUUUUACUUACAUAGCUUUCUGGGAUCUGCAGCUUCAUGGUCAUUUCCAGGUGCCACUAUUACUGAGGAAGUAUAUUAAAAUAUCGUGGAUCUAGCCAGAAUACCUGGGUUUGCUUAUUUUUAUUAUAUGCAUAGUCAACAGAAAGGAGUAUUUUUAGAGUAUUAGGUGAUGUGCUUUAUAAUUAACCGCUAGUUUGAAGCCUGAAGAUGAUCCACUAUUUUGUCUCAUAAAGAAAACGUGGAUAAUGCCACUGCUGUUGCCUUCACGCUCCCUGAAAAUUCGUUCCUUCCUAACUCUCUGGAAAGCAUUUGGGUUUUAUGUUAAAAGAACAACAAAACUCAAAUAACGACAAUUCUCCAGUUUUUGCCAACUGAAAAGCACAAUAGAAGUCCCAUUCAUAGUGCAAAUUUUCAAGAAGGAAGGAAAAUGCUGAAGAAAGCUGACCAGGAUGAAGGAACUAAAAAAGAAAGAAUUUCUUUAGUCCAAAACCCACCAAGUGUCGAUUAAAAAAAAAUCCAAGAUGGUCCUAAUUUUUGACACAGGAUGCGUUUAGCCUUGCCACAUUUACUAGCAAGUCAAACCAUGCUUCACCACUGUGAAAAUUUACUUAAACAGAAAAUACUUUCAAUGAGAAAGCUGUGCUUAUUUUCACAAGUACUCUAUCUUCAUUAUAAUAUGUUAAUGUUAUUCUUGCCACAGUUCUACGGAUUUUGAUGGAGCUACCUCUAAAACAUAUUAACGUUCAUAAUUUGUGUUGUGCAGAAAACCAUGAGACUUGAUUCUGUAUAUUUUUAUGAGUGUUAUAUAUUCUGUAUAUUUUUGUUAUGAAGUGUCUCAAUUUCCAUUAACAAAGAGUGUGCCCUAAUUCCCAUUAACACCACUGAAGCUGUUCAUUAAGAUGACUAAAGUUAGAAAGUUCUUAAAUCUUGGCCCAUAGUCUUUGAAUAAAACACAGAGCCAAAGCCCAGGAGAUGUUCAGUGAAAGUUUAAAAUUCACAGUAAGGCCCUAAUUCUCCACUGCUGUAUGUCUCCUGCGGUCAUAUGCAGCCGGGUACUAUCCUCCUAAAAUGCUAGCAGGCAAGAAUUUUGCACAUGUGUAGAAAAUCAAGAUCUGGCUUUUGCAGAAGAUACAUCCUGAGUAUCAGACAAAAUGCUGCAGUUACCAAGAGCCUUUGACAUAAUGACUUUAAAACGUUAGCAAGCAAUUACUAUUUCCAUUUUACUGACAGGGGACUAGAAUAGAGAGACAAAGCAAGCUAGGCUAGGUGGAAAUGCUCGGGAAAAUUAAUAGAGUUAAUUUUUAAAGAGCAUUAGUUAAACCACAAACAUUUCUGUAUAGGCAUCUAUUCAAAAACUAAAGCUGCUUUUAUUCUAGUCAGUGCUAUUUUAUUUUGAAAGUGAAUUAAUUUAAAUCAAAUUGCAGCCAGUUCUGUUGUGAAUAAAAGCAUGCAAAUUGAGGUUCAAUACAGUUCACAGACACUUUUAAUUUACACCUUUUGUUAAUUUAACUAAUUGUCCUGAGUGCCUGAGCUCACAUAGGAAGUGUGCCAAGGUGCAAAGAGUUAAGGAUGAGGCUCUUCACCUGCAGGGUUUGUCCUCUCCAGCAGCCCUUCCUUAGGGUGCUAUACAAUCAUCCUCCUUAUCACCAGAUGGCACAGUUCUCAGUCUUUGAUUCUGUGGACGCCAGAGGACGUGUUCCUGUCUUUCCCUGUCACCUGCAACUUAGUGACAGCUGUCAAGGAGAGCAUUUCAUGCAUUUAAUGGGAAGACUGGGCAAACAUGCAGCACCUAUAGACUAGGGGCUGGGAAGAAGUACUCGACCCAGGAGAGUGCACUCAUUGACUUCUGUAAGCACCAAAAGCAGAGAAGUAGAGUGAUACAUCACAGCGAACCUGGAGUUCUGUUUUCAUGGUCAGCCUAAAAACAUGAUAGUCAGCUAUAUUACCUCACCAAGAUCAGACUUGCAGAGGUGUAACUCAAUGACAAGCUUUAGAAAAUGUCACUGAGAAAUAUCUAUAAAUACCCAAUGCAUCUUCUUCCUUCCUACCUACUUUUUAAAAUUCUUAUUCACCUUGAAAUCAUAAUUUCUUAUAGCAAAUGACUAUGCAGUUCUUAUACUUCCCUGAAGUAAGCUGAAGUGACCUACUGGUGUGAUCGCAUCCAUCUCAGGGCAGCACAAUUCUAUCAGUCUCUAUGUGGUUAUCGCAGUACCACAGCAACCUAGCAAUCCCUAGACUGCCCCUACUUUGACCUACUGGCUAAAGUCCUACAGCCCAGAUAAUAGUCAAAUACUCCUCCACACGCAAAAAAAUGUGUGGAAUGCUGUGCAUCCACUUCCACCCGUGUGCAGCCACUGUCUAGGCAAAGCUACACAUUUUACGGGCUAUCCACCUUUUUUAAGCAUUACUUCCUUCAGCUUCAUAACACAUGGUUUCCUCAGCUCUCUUUCUUCAGUCUGUCAAUUUAGCCAGAAAUCAUCUUAACCUUUUAGUUAUAAUCACAUCAGAGGGAAAAAAAAAAAAAAUCAAGAAGGGUUUUUCUCUCAUUUUUCAGCUUUUCCUGGCAGUUAAUGCUGAGUCCAUCAAGGAAAAAAAAAAACCACCCCCUCAUUGUGUGUAGUCCAUGAAUGCAGAUUGUCUUACUUUACUAUUCUUGGAGCUUUCUAAUCAUAGAAUCACAGAACCAUAGAAUGGUUUGGGUUGAAAGGGAUCUUAAAGGUCAUCCAGCUCCAAUCCCCCUGUGAUGGGCAAGGACACGUCCCACUAGAUCAGGCUGCCCAAGGCCCCAUCCAACCUGGCCUUGAACAUAGGAGAAAGUAACUUAAGAAGUAACAGAAUGGUUAUUCCUAAGAAGCUCCUUACUGGGUGAAGGAAAUGGGAUGCAAACUUUUGUUUAAAAGGGAGAGGGUAAAGCGUAAAAAAAAAAACAUGCUGCAAGACUAAAAGUUUGGGUGUUUUCUAUGUCUAGCAGAGAAACUCUUGAUCAUCUUGAUUCUUUAGUCCCCUUGGCGAGAGCUCCUGGAUAAAACUUCAGCGCCUUCAGGAAAGCAUGAUCAUUUUAUAAAAUGCUCUUUCGAACUCCUAACUGUUUAAUCCUACACGUCCCACGGCUACGUAAAAGGGGCAAUCCCUAAAUCUCAGGGAAACGACGGAUUCAUUUUCAGGGCAGGGGUGUCAGAAGGGCUCUACAGACGGAGAGAGAACUGUCCUGCUGCCCUUAUGUCGCAAGGCAGCUCUCAAAACUCUCGCCCGGUUCGGCGGCUGCCGGGGACGCCGCUGCCCCCGUCCCGGGGGGCUCAGCCGCGACGAGGUUUUAUUCGCACCACGUUUUUCAAAAGGGGGGGGGGGAAACACCCCAAAAAGAACUCAGAACCGAGGCAGGGAAAGGGACGAAGCCGCCUGCGGGAUACAGGGAGCGCCGGCGGGUGGUUUUGCUUCGGAGGGAACGGAGAAAAGAUGCGUUUCUCUGGAGUUCAGGUGAAGGUCUGUCAACGCUCCUCGCUGAGAGCGGAGCGAGUCACUCCCCUGCGAGAGAGACUGUACCGGGGCAGGAGAGAGAGACGCGCGAGUCUCAGGACCUAUUUCCACCAGGGAUCUCACCGAGCAAGAGGUGGGGGACACGGCAGGCGCGGAGCUCACCCUGCC